rnacentral:rRNA from 1 species
AGCAUAUCAAUAAGCGGAGGAAAAGAAACUAACAAGGAUUCCCCUAGUAGCGGCGAGCGAAGCGGGAAGAGCUCAAAUUUAUAAUCUGGCACCUUCGGUGUCCGAGUUGUAAUCUCUAGAAGUGUUUUUCGCGUUGGACCGCACACAAGUCUGUUGGAAUACAGCGGCAUAGUGGUGAAACCCCCGUAUAUGGUGCGGACGCCCAGCGCUUUGUGAUACACUUUCAAUGAGUCGAGUUGUUUGGGAAUGCAGCUCAAAUUGGGUGGUAAAUUCCAUCUAAAGCUAAAUAUUGGCGAGAGACCGAUAGCGAACAAGUACCGUGAGGGAAAGAUGAAAAGCACUUUGGAAAGAGAGUUAACAGUACGUGAAAUUGUUGGAAGGGAAACGCUUGAAGUCAGACUUGCUUGCCGGAGCUUGCUUCGGUUUGCAGGCCAGCAUCAGUUUUCCGGGGUGGAUAAUGACGGUUUGAAGGUAGCAGUCUCGGCUGUGUUAUAGCUUUCCGUUGGAUACGCCCUGGGGGACUGAGGAACGCAGCGUGCUUUUUGCGAAAGACUCGUCUUUUUCACGCUUAGGAUGCUGGUGGAAUGGCUUUAAACGACCCGUCUUGAAACACGGACCAAGGAGUCUAACAUGCUCGCGAGUAUUUGGGUGUCAAACCCGGAUGCGCAAUGAAAGUGAAUGUAGGUGGGAACCGCAAGGUGCACCAUCGACCGAUCUGGAUUUUUUAAGAUGGAUUUGAGUAAGAGCGCGUAUGUUGGGACCCGAAAGAUGGUGAACUAUGCCUGAAUAGGGCGAAGCCAGAGGAAACUCUGGUGGAGGCUCGUAGCGGUUCUGACGUGCAAAUCGAUCGUCAAAUUUGGGUAUAGGGGCGAAAGACUAAUCGAACCAUCUAGUAGCUGGUUCCUGCG